GCUUGGAUGGCUCAGUUGGUUAGAGCGCAGGUCUCAUACUUCCGUAUGACCGCCGCACGGUGGGCAAUCCUGAGGUCGUGAGUUCGAUCCUCACUCCGAGCA
rnacentral:tRNA from 1 species